rnacentral:tRNA from 1 species
CCAGAUGUAACUCAGUGGUAUAGAGUGACUGUCUGAUACGCAGUUGGCCAUAGGUUCAAAUCCUAUCAUCUGGA